GGAGGGAGGAUCUGCUGUUAG
rnacentral:miRNA from 1 species